rnacentral:ncRNA from 1 species
CAACCUCAACUCAUAUGGGACUACCCCCUGAAUUUAAGCAUAUUAAUUAGGGGAGGAAAAGAAACUAACAAGGAUUUUCUUAGUAGCGGCGAGCGAAAAGAAAACAGUUCAGCACUAAGUCACUUUGUCUAUAUGGCAAAUGUGAGAUGCAGUGUAUGGAGCGUCAAUAUUCUAGUAUGAGAAAUUAAUGAUUUAAGUCCUUCUUAAAUGAGGCCAUUUACCCAUAGAGGGUGCCAGGCCCGUAUAACGUUAAUGAUUGCUAGAUGAUGUUUCCAAAGAGUCGUGUUGCUUGAUAGUGCAGCACUAAGUGGGUGGUAAACUCCAUCUAAAACUAAAUAUAACCAUGAGACCAAAAGUAAACAAGUACCGUGAGGGAAAGUUGAAAAGAACUCUGAAUAGAGAGUUAAACAGUACGUGAAACUG